rnacentral:ncRNA from 12 species
CUCUAUUAUUGGUGGACUAGCAAUAAAGUACUUUGCAAGUACAUGCAACACUUCAAACUUCUAUGUAAUUAGUGCAUUAUUGUUCAACCCCAUGAAUAAUAUAUA